AACCAUAUACUAAAGUGGUGUAAGUGAUGACAUCUGGAGAUAUUUCCUUGACAACCAUUUCAGAAUACAUACCAUUUAGCUUCGGCAAGAUUUUUAUCUUUGCACAGGCUAUCGAUGAUUGUGUUC
rnacentral:miRNA from 1 species